rnacentral:rRNA from 1 species
UGGGGAAUAUUGGACAAUGGGCGAAAGCCUGAUCCAGCCAUGCCGCGUGUGUGAAGAAGGUCUUCGGAUUGUAAAGCACUUUAAGUUGGGAGGAAGGGCAGUAAGCGAAUACCUUGCUGUUUUGACGUUACCGACAGAAUAAGCACCGGCUAACUCUGUGCCAGCAGCCGCGGUAAUACAGAGGGUGCAAGCGUUAAUCGGAAUUACUGGGCGUAAAGCGCGCGUAGGUGGUUCGUUAAGUUGAAUGUGAAAGCCCCGGGCUCAACCUGGGAACUGCAUCCAAAACUAGCGAGCUAGGGUAGGGCAGAGGGUGGUGGAAUUUCCUGUGUAGCGGUGAAAUGCGUAGAUAUAGGAAGGAACACCAGUGGCGAAGGCGACCACCUGGGCUCAUACUGACACUGAGGUGCGAAAGCGUGGGGAGCAAACAGG